rnacentral:rRNA from 1 species
CAAGAUUCCCUAGUACGGCGAGUGAAGCGGGAAGAGCUCCAAGCUUAAAAUCUCUGUGCAAGUUUUGCAUGGCGAAUUGUAGUCUAUGGAUGCGCUAUCAGUACAGCCGCGCGGGCCAAGUUCCUUGGAAGAGGACAGCAUGGAGGGUGAUACUCCCGUUCCUGCCUGUGCGUGUUGUGCGUACGAUGCGUUUUCUUUGAGUCGCGUUGUUUGGGAAUGCAGCGCAAAGUAGGUGGUAAAUUCCAUCUAAAGCUAAAUAUUGGUGCGAGACCGAUAGCGAACAAGUACCGUGAGGGAAAGAUGAAAAGAACUUUGAAAAGAGAGUUAAAGAGUACCUGAAACUGCUGAAAGGGAACCGGGUCGUUGCCAGUGUCUAUAAUCUGCGGCAUAUUUCAUUGUCGGAUGCGGCCGUGCGGCGCGUUUGGUAGUGGGUUCGUCCUGCACCGCGUGUUGCUGUGGUUGUGUUUGGUGGUGCCCUGUGCUGUGGUGGGACGUCAGAGUCAGUUCGUAUGCUGCGGGAAAUGGCUGCUGGGGAGGUAGGUCGGGGGUUCGCCCUCGGCUGUUAUAUCCUGGUGGACUAGUCGUCGUGGUUGGGACUGAGGUGCCUACAACGUGCUUUUGAGUGUGGAGGUUUCUUCGUUUGCGCGUCGGUUGGAUAGCUUGCUAUGCAGUUGGCGUUGUGUGCGGAUGGAUGUCUUUGCUAACUUGUUGCCGUUCGGGACUUUGACGAAGUGGCGCGAACCCSACCCCWCAAMAAAAAARRRACCA